UACGGAGGGUGCAAGCGUUGUCCGGAAUCACUGGGCGUAAAGGGCGCGUAGGCGGCUUGGUAAGUCCGCUGUGAAAGUCCAGGGCUCAACCCUGGAAUGCCGGUGGAAACUGUCAAGCUUGAGUCCGGAAGAGGCGAGUGGAAUUCCUGGUGUAGCGGUGAAAUGCGCAGAUAUCAGGAGGAACACCAAUGGCGAAGGCAGCUCGCUGGGACGGUACUGACGCUGAGACGCGAAAGCGUGGGGAGCAAACAGG
rnacentral:rRNA from 1 species